GUAAAUUUUAUAUGUAAGUGUUAUCAUUUUCAUUCAUAUUAAGAGUAGAUUGAAUAGGCAAGUGGACUUCACAUGUAAUCAUUGUUCACCUGAAAGCCUAUACAGUACUAUUUGAAGAACAGAGUUUCUAAUCAUUUUCCUGCUGCAUGGAAACAUUUGCUACUGUUGGACAUAUUACGUCUAAUAGCAGCAGAAACCUAAGAAAUAUGCAUGCAAAUGGAUUCUAAGUUUCUCAAUAUAAAGAUAACAGAGUACCUCAGAGGACCAGGACAAAUUUAUACACAAAAUAUUGAAAGUGGGAUAAAAACUUAAGAUGACUCAGUAUUCAACACAAUAAAAAUGAAGACAUAAAUCACUCCAUUAAGACCCAGAACAGGUGAAGUUUGGACUGAGGUCAUGAAUAAUAGAAGAAGAAAAAGAUUAUCAAGUCUGCCGUGAUGUCUAUCUACAUUUGGGCAAGAAUACAAAUGAAGGUUCACCUGAAAGUUAUGAAGGAGGCUAAGAAAUUGUUACAUGACACGGUCUACAGGAAGCCUGGCUGGGAUGCCUCAGAAAACUUACAAUCAUGGUGGAAGGAGAGAGAGAGAGAGAGUAAAGGGGGAAGCGCUACACACUUUCAAAC